rnacentral:rRNA from 1 species
UACGGAAGGCAGCAGUGGGGAAUAUUGCACAAUGGGCGCAAGCCUGAUGCAGCCAUGCCGCGUGUAUGAAGAAGGCCUUCGGGUUGUAAAGUACUUUCAGUCGUGAGGAAGGUGUUAAGGUUAAUAACCUUAGCAAUUGACGUUAGCGACAGAAGAAGCACCGGCUAACUCCGUGCCAGCAGCCGCGGUAAUACGGAGGGUGCGAGCGUUAAUCGGAAUUACUGGGCGUAAAGGGCACGCAGGCGGUUAAUUAAGUUGGAUGUGAAAUCCCCGGGCUUAACCUGGGAAUGGCAUUCAAGACUGGUUAGCUAGAGUCUUGUAGAGGGGGUAGAAUUCCAUGUGUAGCGGUGAAAUGCGUAGAGAUGUGGAGGAAUACCGGUGCGAAGGCGGCCCCUGGACAAGACUGACGCUCAUGUGCGAAAGCGUGGGGAGCAAAC